rnacentral:rRNA from 1 species
UGGGGAAUAUUGCAAAAUGGAGGGAACUCUGAUGCAGCGACGCCGCGUGAACGAAGAAGGCUUUCGAGUCGUAAAGUUCUUUUAUAUGGGAAGAUAAUGACGGUACCAUAAGAAAAAGCCCCGGCUAACUACGUGCCAGCAGCCGCGGUAAUACGUAGGGGGCUAGCGUUGUCCGGAAUCACUGGGCGUAAAGGGUUCGCAGGCGGAAAUGCAAGUCAGGUGUAAAAGGCAGUAGCUUAACUACUGUAAGCAUUUGAAACUGCAUAUCUUGAGAAGAGUAGAGGUAAGUGGAAUUUUUAGUGUAGCGGUGAAAUGCGUAGAUAUUAAAAAGAAUACCGGUGGCGAAGGCGACUUACUGGGCUCAUUCUGACGCUGAGGAACGAAAGCGUGGGUAGCAAACAGG